AAGGAGAAAAGCACUGGGAGGCGUCUGCGGGUGGCUAUUCAUUUACCCGACACGGUCGUAGAACAUUUUGGUGUUUCACGUAUCGAGUGCGCAGCAAGCAAGUCACGUUCAAAGCACAGACGUUGCAGUCGAGCGAUGCUUCAUUCGGCCGCUGAAGCGAAUCAGCCUUCAGCAGCUGCCGAGUCCUCAAUCCCAUACCCGCACACGAGCGACUGCUGCAUAUGGUGUUUCGGUGGCGGCGGACAAGCUUCUCGGGCGGGAGUUUCUGUGCACUAGGGCUGCGUGAGUAGCGCCGCCGGGGCGUAAAACCUUUCCGCAGCACCACGUGAUGGGAAUCAUUUCAAGAAUCUGGCUUUCAGGUAACGCUUGAUGGGGGUUUCACGAGACCCGCUGCUUUCUUUGUGGGUGCAUUAUGCCAGUCUGCAGGAUGCGGCUCUAUCGGUGUCCCGAUGUGCUGCAGUUUUGACCGGCGGUGCCUGCGUUCGGUACGAAUAUGGGGCGCUGCGUGCCCGGGAGCGCACGAACCUGGACGCUGUGGGGCUGCUUCCUCGCACGCCGUUGAACAAGCUCGCCGAACACGCCACUGGAUACGAAGACGCUGGUGCUGUUGCUGCUGAUUGCGUGCGGGGAUUCACCUGAUCUUCGUUAGACGCGAUCGGAAGGUUACAUGCCGAUAUUCGUGCGGGUGCGACCUCGUAUUCCAGUCGUCGUCGUCGUUACGCAUAUUCUAGAAAGAAAUGCAAAGGGUGCUCCAGGACGAAAACAAAAAAGGAUUCUUGGGACAGUUCCUGAUGUAAUCAGUACUGAGCAUUGUGGGCUUUUCAUGCGACUGCUCUCGAUCGCUCCCUCUUAUCUCCGAGCCUGAAAUGGAUCGGUCUUCUUUCUCCCGCCAGAUAUGUUUCAGGACGUCGAGGGGUGUUCAUGGCAGCGUCCUAGGCCGCAUGGCGUUGCUCCUGGCUGCUGAACAAACGUUUCACGCGCAGGAAAACGUAACGAUCUAUGCUUCGCAUGCCAUUCGCAUCUUCUUCGUAUACAGUCUCAGUGUGUGACCUUCUUCGUCAUGAAAUUGGAGGCUAUUCACGCAUUCUAAGUAUUUUGGCCAGUAUUCCGCUUCCAUCGCGCUGUACUGGAGCAGGGUAACACCUCCUUCAUCGCACGAUGCGUACCGUUGACCGGUACAGAAGGCUUCCGCGAAUGCACGCCUCCGGGUCCACACCAGGUACCUUGCCUCACGAGCAUGUGCUCCUUAUUUGCGAUUCCCGCAGCGACGACGAUGUCCGCUGCAUAGACAACCGCUCGACGUCAUCGUCGGUGAGGGAUCUAUGGACCGCGCUCUUGUCCAUGAUGAGACAAGGAGCGGAACCAAAAAGCAGGCAUGUACGCUGGCCGGGAAACUCGGGUGCGUCACUGCACCUGUCGUACUGAGCGGUGACGCACGCUCCACUGGAAGCGAUCACUGCGAUGCUUGACGUCCGCGUCCGAGAUCCUUCUGCGUACAGACGGAAGCGACAGGGAGCCUCUAGAUGCAUAUCCUGCGACAGGUAUCAUGUUGCACUCGAACGCCGUCUCAUGUCUGGCUACAACGAGCAGCGUACUCGAAUGUGGAACGGAAUCGAUCAAUGGGCGUGACGAGUUCACAGCGGUUCCCGUAUGAGCUUGUGGAGGAAUCGUUGGAGGUCGACCUUGAGGAUUCUCGCUUGACCAUGCAGCGGUGCGGUUGCGCAGCACCGACGAUCUGCCGUCAAACAGCAUGAUCGAAACGGUGAACAGUGCGUGGAUUGAGCAUGGAAAGCGGAGAGCAGGCACACGAGCGAAGACGCUCUCGUAUGGACAUGUUAUUGAUAGGGGCUAUGGAGGGAGCUCAUGUUGUAAAACGCCGCGAUCCAUCUGGAUUCCAGCGACA
rnacentral:misc_RNA from 1 species